AUUACAUUGCAAUGUUUAGUUCUAAGAUAUUACAAGGGAAAAAAGGAAAUUACAAGAAAACUUCAACAGUUGACUUUUUGAUCAAAUGUUCACCAUUGACUUUUUUGAAUCAUUAACUCUUAUGACCUAUUCUCAAUUCAGUUCCAUUUUAUUCCAACUCCUUCCAAAUUCUCUUCACCUAUUCACUUCUCCAUUUUUUCAAAAUCAAGUUUCUUCAUGUUAUACUCCAUGUCCAAGUUCAUGCCACACCAAGCCUUUCCUCAACACAAACCUACAUAAUAGAAGGGCUAAAUCAGUUUCACAAUAUACAAUUACAUCCAUUCAAGAUUCAAAAAUAAAAAACCAAGACAUAUCAUGCAUCAUACAUCCAUGCCACAUUCAUAUUCAACUAAAUUCAAGCAGUUCAUGUUGGCACCACAUCAGACAAUAGCAAAAACAAUCAUAUGCA
rnacentral:lncRNA from 1 species